ACAGAGACCUCAAGCGUUAUCCGGAAUCACUGGGCGUAAAGCGUACCGAUAGGUGGUUUUGUAAGUCUUUGGUGAAAGCCCCGAGCUUAACUCGGGAAUCGCCAAGGAAACUAUAAGACUAGAGGAACAAAGAGGGAGCUGGAACUUUGGGUGUAGCGGUGAAAUGCGUUGAUAUCCAAAGGAACACUAAAAGCGAAGGCAGGCUCCUGGGUGUUUCCUGACACUGCUAGGACGAAAGCGUGGGUAGCGAAUGGGA
rnacentral:rRNA from 1 species